rnacentral:rRNA from 1 species
UAGGGAAUCUUCCGCAAUGGACGCAAGUCUGACGGAGCAACGCCGCGUGAGUGAAGAAGGAUUUCGGUUCGUAAAACUCUGUUGUUAGAGAAGAACAGCGCAUAGAGUAACUGUUAUGCGUGUGACGGUAUCUAACCAGAAAGCCACGGCUAACUACGUUCCAGCAGCCGCGGUAAUACGUAGGUGGCAAGCGUUGUCCGGAUUUAUUGGGCGUAAAGCGAGCGCAGGCGGUCAAUUAAGUCUGAUGUGAAAGCCCCCGGCUCAACCGGGGAGGGUCAUUGGAAACUGGUUGACUUGAGUGCAGAAGAGGGGAGUGGAAUUCAAUGUGUAGCGGUGAAAUGCGUAGAUAUAUGGAGGAACACCAGUGGCGAAGGCGACUCUCUGGUCUGUAACUGACGCAGAGGCUCGAAAGCGUGAGUAGCAAACAGG